CAGGCCAGAAGCAGGACGUCGACGAGAGGUCGGCAGCGAGGGUCGGAUGGAACGCGGAGAGGUGAAGAAGCCCCAACCCCUCGCCUUUAGGUCGAACCAGCUCAAAACCCUCUCGGGCAGAUGGAGCCGGCCGUAUCCGCCCGACACGAUGUGAGUCUAGGGAAGCUCUGGUCACCUUCCCAGGAUCGACUCGAAGAGGAGGGAUAGUUGUCCUGCAGACCUCCAAGCAUCGCGCGACGAGCGUCAUUCACGUAGGCGCCCUUACUGCAAGCUGCAUUUGGUUCAUGGUUUAUCUUUUCUCAUCUUCGUUAUUAAGUCAAAUCAUCUCCUGUGCAUCAGCAUCAUGUGAAACGACUGACGUUCCUUAGAGCUCAUCAUUCCGUUUUGGAAAAUCCAGUCGCGUAUUUUUGCAAUAAUAAAAGGAAAUCUCUCUGACCGUA